rnacentral:tRNA from 2 species
GCCGCCUUAGCUCAGUCGGCUAGAGCGACGCACUCGUAAUGCGUAGGUCAAGGGUUCGACUCCCUUAGGCGGCUCCA